GAAAAAUUUAAUAGUUUAGAAGGCAAUGCGGGAGAAAAACUAAUUUAAGGGCCAAGCAAGAGGCAAAUUCAGUAGUUUGGAGGACACGUAGGAACUAAAAGCAGUAUAGAGAUAACAUGGUUUAUAUCUCAAGGACUUGUGGGUGAAGUUGUGUGUUUAUUGCCUAUUGCUCAUUAUAUAUAACUACAUGCAGGUUGCAUCGAUCACUAUUCCAUGUUGGCUGUUGCAAGCUAGCGCAAACUGGAACUCAAACUGACCCCACAGCCACAGGUGACUUUAUCAAACCACCACUUGCUUCACGCGAUUUUCGUUCAUACGUCCAGCUAGCGCGAACGCGUGCUCUCUGUUUGAUAAAAUGCCCAACUGAUAAGUUCAUUCCGUUAUCUCAAUACGGGUCAUUUUUAGCAAGUCUUAUGUAUCUCUUUUCUUCAAUGUUAAGAUUUUGAUGUUUCAAUAGAUCUUAUUUCUCAAUGUCUUGUCAGAUCAAUUUCGUUUCAUAUAAACAUGCAAUGCCCUUUUUUUCCUCGCAAAGGUCGAUCUGUGGGAGUGUCAAUGAGAUGUUCUUGCUUAUUGACAUAGCCCACGAGCAGAGUUAUGAAUGAAAAAAAUUAUUCUUGAACGAGGAAGGAUCCGUUUGUCAUUAAUUGUUGAUGUGAUGUAGAACACACGGCGAACACACGGCAGACACGUUUAUGUCAAAGUGGGACAGUCGUAAGCCCAAAUGCGGGUCUGGUCGAAGAAAAUAACUUGUUUCGAAGAAACGACCAUAAUUUUCAAACCGUACGUCGGAUUUGGAUAAAUUAUAUAUGAAAAUCGAUUAUCUCGACGAGACGGAGCCAUCCAAACCGACCCCUAAGGUUUGCAUCAGAUCGGCCUGCAUCAGUUUGUCGAAGGACGUCAAUAUAUCAGUGGGUUACUUGCAAGUUUUUGUUUCGGCAUUUGUACUCUGACACAUACAGGUAAAUCUUUUUGAGGCUCAACAUCAACAUGCAAUAAUGGUACAAGAGGAGCUGCAAAAAUUCAGUGGAGGGUGAUGGGGCUCGGAAGGAAGAUAGAAAGAAAGAAAGACGGAGAAGGUAUUUGUUCCUAAGUAAUUGGUUUCGGUUUUCCCCUGACUAAUGACCAGGCCAUGGUGAAGGUAUUAUUAGCCCGUGCUAAUUAUUUAGGGACCAAAAAGUCAGAAUUCAUUUUAACCUCCUCUGGAAGUUACCUUGUUUACUUCUUAACUAUCAUCUGAUCAUAUCUAGCAGGAGUGACUGAACAUGCCCAUGUUCAUGGGACCUUUUCUGAGCAGCAUAUUGCCCACCAUUGGUGAAACCAAAUACUGAGGCUCCAUAACUGGAUACAACCCUGUUGGAGACCUAAAGCCUUUGGAGACCUAAAGCCUUUGGAGAAUGACUUGAAGCCCA